GAUGAACGCUAGCGGGAGGCUUAACACAUGCAAGUCGAGGGGCAUCACGAGGUAGCAAUACUUUGGUGGCGACCGGCGCACGGGUGAGUAACACGUAUGCAACCUUCCCUGUACAGGGGGAUAACCCGGAGAAAUUCGGACUAAUACCCCAUGAUGAUAUUAUGGGGCAUCCUUUAAUAUUUAAAGCUCUGGCGGUACAGGAUGGGCAUGCGCGACAUUAGCUAGUUGGUAAGGUAACGGCUUACCAAGGCGACGAUGUUUAGGGGACCUGAGAGGGUUGUCCCCCACACUGGUACUGAGACACGGGCCAGACUCCUACGGGAGCAGCAGUGAGGAAUAUUGGUCAAUGGGCGCAAGCCUGAACCAGCCAUCCCGCGUGAAGGAAGAAUGCGCUACGCGUUGUAAACUCCUUUUCCAGGGGGAGAAUAAUCCUGUCGUGACAGGACUUGACGGUACUCGUAGGGAAUAAGCAUCGGCUAACUCCGUGCCAGCAGCCGCGGU
rnacentral:rRNA from 1 species